rnacentral:lncRNA from 1 species
AAUGUUCUUUCUUUUCAGGACAACGUUUUGGCAGCAGAGAAGCCUCCGGAUGCUCCGGCCCACGAAGCUGAAAGCAGUGAGGUCUUCCUGAAGAAGGAGGACUUUCUGUUCAACCCCAUCGACCCUUGGAAAGGCGAGCAGAAGGAGACGCUCAGCGAAAACGAUGUCUUCCUGUUUGAUGAGAGGACGCCUGCCCCUCCACCCACCAGCGACCUGGAGCCGCAGGAGGAGCAGAACCCAGAGCACAUCCAGGAGGAGGGCUUCCUCCUCACUACCACACUCAGCUCCAGAACAGGGGUUCCUCAAGGGGAGCCCUCAGAACGUCCUGAAGGUCCUCCUGCAGUCAGCAUACUCCCGUCUGUGGAGACUCACUCUAAAGGUUCACUCGAUGACCGGUCUGGAUCUGGGUUCUCUGGAGACGACCAGGGAGCAGAUCUCUGGUCACUGCCACCCCCAACAGAGUUUAACAUUAGUCGUAUCAUAGAACGAAACAAGCUAGACGUUCUUCCUCCGCCCGAUUUAGAGGAGGACCUGGACGAGGACGUGGCCUCAGCAGAACCACCGUCCACCUCAGAGGAAGCACGUGCUGGUGAUUUGGAGGAAGCAAUAUCUGCUCCUUCUGAAGGAGAGACCUUCAGCACAUACACAGAGGCUCCUUAUCUGAGUCCAGAGCUGCUGACUCCACACAUCAGCACAUCUCCACAAUACUCCACCCCAAUACCCCCACCCUUACUCCUACCCCAGGAAACCCCACCCACAGUGGAGGCAUCUGGACUCUGGAAAGACCACACAGAGACUCCAAUGGUUUCCAAUGAAGGACCAAUCACGGGUUCCCCACCUGAAGAAUGGACUCAAAAGACAGAAACAGUGUUUGGUCUCGCUGACUCAGACGGGAAGCUGCAAAAAAAACCUGAAAAGGAGCAAGAAGUAACUAAAAAGGUGGAAAAAAGCACUGAGAAGGUGGAGGAAACUCUGGAAGAGGAGAGGGACAUCCCUGAGAAAGUGCAAGAAGCCUCUGAGAAGGUGGAAGAAACCACUGAGAAAAUGGAAGACGCCUCUGUACAGGGGCAAAAAGCCUCAGAGAAGGUGGAAAAACCCACUGAGAAGAUGGAAAAAGAAAUUGAGAAGGUGCAAGAAGGCUCUGAAAAGGAGCAAGAAGCCUCUGAGAAGGAGGUAGAAACCACUGAGAAUGAGCAAGACGCCUCUAUACAGGGGCAAGAAGCCUCUGAGAAGGUGGAAGAAACUACUGAGAAGGUGGAAAAAGCAAUUGAGAAGGUGCAAGAAGCCUCUGUAAAGGUGCAAGAAGCCUCUGAGAAGGAG